rnacentral:rRNA from 1 species
AGGGCACCACCAGGAGUGGAGCCUGCGGCUUAAUUUGACUCAACACGGGAAAUCUCACCAGGCCCGGACACCGGAAGGGUUGACAGAUUGAGAGCUCUUUCUUGAUUCGGUGGGUGGUGGUGCAUGGCCGUUCUUAGUUGGUGGAGCGAUUUGUCUGGUUAAUUCCGAUAACGAACGAGACUCUGGCCUACUAAAUAGACGGUGGAUCCCUUUGUGGGUCCACUGACGCUUCUUAGAGGGACGGGCAGCGUUACAGCUGCACGAGAUUGAGCAAUAACAGGUCUGUGAUGCCCUUAGAUGUUCUGGGCUGCACGCGCGCUACACUGAAGGAAUCAGCGUGUGUCCCCUGGCCGAAAGGUCUGGGAAACCCGUUGAACCUCCUUCGUGAUGGGGAUUGGGGAUUGCAAUUAUUCCCCAUGAACGAGGAAUUCCCAGUAGGCGCGAGUCAUAAGCUCGCGUCGAUUACGUCCCUGCCCUUUGUACACACCGCCCGUCGCUACUACCGAUCGAGUGAUUUAG